rnacentral:tRNA from 1 species
GGGCGGCUAGCUCAGCAGGUUAGAGCGCUUCCUUCACACGGAAGAGGUCAUAGGUUCGAGUCCUGUGCCGCCCACCA